UCAAGAUGGUCGCAUAAGGAUUUGCGGCGACUACAAGACGACCGUUAACCCGUGCCUUGAUGUCGACCGCUACCCAUUGCCGAAGGUGGAAGGCCUGUUCACAGCUUUGUCGGGAGCAGGAACUUCGCUACCUCGGUCACAGGAUCAGCGCACAAGGCAUCUCGGCAACGACGGAGAAGCUUGACGCACUCCUCAAGGCGCCAGCCCCUAAAGACAGGCAGCAGCUGCAGUCGUUCCUGGGAGUCGUCAAUUUCUACGGCAAGUUCGUUCCUAACCUAGCAACGGUAGCGCAACCAUUUUUCACGUUGCUACGUAAAAACGCCCCGUGGUACUGGGAUAAGCGCUCCCAUGAAGCGUUCACCAAGAUCAAGAGCUUGCUAGCUUCUCCGCCCGUUUUGGCGCACUACGACCCAUGCAAACCCUUGCAGCUAUCAUGCGAUGCAUCACAAUAUGGUCUAGGCGCGGUUCUUUCUCAAGUUUUGGAUGAUGGCAGCACGAAGCCAAUCGCUUUCGCAUCGCGGACGUUGACCGAUGCC
rnacentral:lncRNA from 1 species